GACGAACGCUGGCGGCGUGCUUAACACAUGCAAGUCGAACGAAGUGGCGAACGGGUGAGUAACGCGUAAUCAACCUGCCCUUCAGAGGGGGACAACAGUUGGAAACGACUGCUAAUACCGCAUACGGAAGGAGGGGAUGGCGUCUGAUUGGCUAGUUGGGGGGGUAACGGCCCAACAAGGCGAUGAUCAGUAGCCGGGCUGAGAGGAUGAACGGCCACAUUGGGACUUGGAAACGGGCCCGAAUCCUAAGGGAGGCAGCAGUUGGGAAUCUUUCGCAAUGGACGGAAGUCUGACGGAGCAACGCCGCGGGAGUGAUGAAGGCCUUCGGGUUGUAAAGCUCUGUUAAUCGGGACGCGGUACCGAAAUAGAAAGCCACGGCUAACUACGUGCCAGCAGCCGCGGUAAUUC
rnacentral:rRNA from 1 species